AACGUACGCUGGCGGCACCCUUAACACAUGCAAGUCGAACGAAGUAGCAAUACUUAGUGGCAGACGGGUGAGUAACAUGUAGGUAUCUACCCUUUGGCCUGGAAUAACACGAGGAAACUUGUGCUAAUACCGGAUAAGUCUUUACGGAGAAAGCUUUAUGCACCAUUGGAUGAGCCUGCACUUGAUUAGUUUGUUGGUAGGGUAAUGGCCUACCAAGACUGUGAUCAAUAGCUGAUUUGAGAGGAUGAUCAGCCACAUUGGGACUGAGACACGGCCCAAACUCCUACGGGAGGCAGCAGUGGGGAAUCUUGCACAAUGGAGGAAACUCUGAUGCAGCGAUGCCGCGUGAGUGAAGAAGGCCCUUGGGUUGUAAAGCUCUUUCGUCGGGGAAGAAAAUGACUGUACCCGAAUAAGAAGGUCCGGCUAACUUCGUG
rnacentral:rRNA from 1 species